rnacentral:rRNA from 1 species
GACGAACGCUGGCGGCGUGCUUAACACAUGCAAGUCGAACGGAAAGGCCCUGCUUUUGUGGGGUGCUCGAGUGGCGAACGGGUGAGUAACACGUGAGUAACCUGCCCUUGACUUUGGGAUAACUUCAGGAAACUGGGGCUAAUACCGGAUAGGAGCUCCUGCUGCAUGGUGGGGGUUGGAAAGUUUCGGCGGUUGGGGAUGGACUCGCGGCUUAUCAGCUUGUUGGUGGGGUAGUGGCUUACCAAGGCUUUGACGGGUAGCGGCCUGAGAGGGUGACCGGCCACAUUGGGACUGAGAUACGGCCCAGACUCCUACGGGAGGCAGCAGUGGGGGAUAUUGCACAAUGGGCGGAAGCCUGAUGCAGCAACGCCGCGUGCGGGAUGACGGCCUUCGGGUUGUAAACCGCUUUCGCCUGUGACGAAGCGUGAGUGACGGUAAUGGGUAAAGAAGCACCGGCUAACUACGUG